AUUGAACGCUGGCGGCAUGCCUAACACAUGCAAGUCGAACGGCAGCACGGUCUAGCUUGCUAGACUGGUGGCGAGUGGCGCACGGGUGAGUAAUGCGUAGGAAUAUGCCUUGAAGUGGGGGAUAACUUGGGGAAACUCAAGCUAAUACCGCAUAAUCUCUAAGGAGGAAAGCUGGGGACCUUCGGGCCUGGCGCUUUAAGAUUAGCCUACGUCCGAUUAGCUAGUUGGUAGGGUAAAGGCCUACCAAGGCGACGAUCGGUAGCUGGUCUGAGAGGAUGGUCAGCCACACUGGGACUGAGACACGGCCCAGACUCCUACGGGAGGCAGCAGUGGGGAAUAUUGGACAAUGGGGGCAACCCUGAUCCAGCGAUGCCGCGUGUGUGAAGAAGGCCUACGGGUUGUAAAGCACUUUCGGUGGGGAGGAGGAUUCAUAGGUUAAGAGCUAAUGGAUUGGACGUUACCCACAAAAGAAGCACCGGCUAACUCCGUGCCAGCCGCCGCGGUAAAAC
rnacentral:rRNA from 1 species